GAUGAAGAACGUAGCGAAAUGCGAAAAGUAAUGUGAAUUGCAGAAUUCAGUGAAUCAUCGAAUCUUUGAACGCACAUUGCGACCGCCAGUAUUCUGGCGGGCAUGCCUGUCUGAGCGUCAUUUCAACCCUCAUGCCCCUAGGGCGUGGUGUUGGGGAUCGGCCAGCGCCCGCGAGGGACGGCCGGCCCCUAAAUCUAGUGGCGGACCCGUCGUGGCCUCCCCUGCGAAGUAGUGAUAUUCCGCAUAGGAGAGCGACGAGCCCCUGCCGUUAAACCCCCAACUUUCUAAGGUUGACCUCAGAUCAGGUAGGAAUACCCGCUGAACUUAAGCAUAUCAAUAAGCGGAGGA
rnacentral:misc_RNA from 1 species